rnacentral:tRNA from 1 species
AGUCUCGCUGGACCCCUCGCGCCGACCUUGUAAACAGGCGGUUGUCGGUUCGAGUCCGACCGUCAGCUCCA